ensembl:misc_RNA 7SK 7SK RNA
AAAUGCGAGGGUAUCUACCUGCAACAUCUGUCACCCCAUUGAUUGCCAGGGUUGAUUCAGCUGAUCUGGCUGGCUAGGCAGGUGUCCCCUUCCUCCUUCACCACUACACAUGUGUCCCUCACUAAGCUGAUCACUCAGUUGAAGAGGACAGCCUACCGCAAAUAGAGAGGGUCUUUGGUCGAGGGUAAGAGUAGCUGCACUCCCCUGCUAGAACCUCCAAACAAGCUUUCAAGAAUAGCUCUUUAAUUUAUGCAUCCCUGAAAAUGCCAUUGUUUAUCUAAGAAUGUUUUUCUGCCUUGUUGAUGGAAAUUGGCAAAAGAAA